AUUGAACGCUGGCGGCAUGCCUUACACAUGCAAGUCGAACGGCAGCACGGGUGCUUGCACCUGGUGGCGAGUGGCGAACGGGUGAGUAAUACAUCGGAACAUGUCCUGUAGUGGGGGGUAGCCCGGCGAAAGCCGGAUUAAUACCGCAUACGAUCCACGGAUGAAAGCGGGGGACCUUCGGGCCUCGCGCUAUAGGGUUGGCCGAUGGCUGAUUAGCUAGUUGGUGGGGUAAAGGCCUACCAAGGCGACGAUCAGUAGCUGGUCUGAGAGGACGACCAGCCACACUGGGACUGAGACACGGCCCAGACUCCUACGGGAGGCAGCAGUGGGGAAUUUUGGACAAUGGGCGAAAGCCUGAUCCAGCAAUGCCGCGUGUGUGAAGAAGGCCUUCGGGUUGUAAAGCACUUUUGUCCGGAAAGAAAUCCUUGGCUCUAAUACAGUCGGGGGAUGACGGUACCGGAAGAAUAAGCACCGGCUAACUACGUG
rnacentral:rRNA from 1 species